UACAUGCAAGUCGUGGGGCAGCAUGGGGUAGCAAUACUCUGAUGGCGACCGGCAAACGGGUGCGGAACACGUACGCAACCUUCCCAAAACUGGUGAAUAGCCCUCCGAAAGGAGGAUUAAUACACCGUAACAUAACGAAGUGGCAUCGCUUUGUUAUUAUAGCUCCGGCGGUUUUGGAUGGGCGUGCGCCUGAUUAGGUAGUUGGCGGGGUAACGGCCCACCAAGCCUACGAUCAGUAACUGGUGUGAGAGCACGACCAGUCACACGGGCACUGAGACACGGGCCCGACUCCUACGGGAGGCAGCAGUAAGGAAUAUUGGUCAAUGGACGCAAGUCUGAACCAGCCAUGCCGCGUGAAGGAUGAAGGUCCUCUGGAUUGUAAACUUCUUUUAUCUGGGACUGAAAAAGGGCUUUCUAGCUCACUUGACGGUACCAGAGGAAUAAGCACCGGCUAACUCCGUGCCAGCAGCCGCGGUAAUACGGAGGGUGCGAGCGUUAUCCGGAUUUACUGGGUUUAAAGGGUGCGUAGGUGGGCAGGUAAGUCAGUGGUGAAAUCUUCGAGCUUAACUCGGAAACUGCCAUUGAUACUAUCUGUCUUGAAUGCCCUGGAGGUAAGCGGAAUAUGUCAUGUAGCGGUGAAAUGCUUAGAUAUGACAUAGAACACCAAUUGCGAAGGCAGCUUACUACGGGGUGAUUGACACUGAGGCACGAAAGCGUGGGGAUCAAACAGGAUUAGAUACCCUGGUAGUCCACGCCCUAAACGAUGGAUACUCGACAUACGCGAUACACUGUGUGUGUCUGAGCGAAAGCAUUAAGUAUCCCACCUGGGAGUACGACGCAAGUGAAACUCAAGGAUUGACGGGGUCCGCACAGCGUGGAGCAUGUGUUAAUUCGAUGAUACGCGAGGACCUUACCU
rnacentral:rRNA from 1 species